AAAUUGAAGAGUUUGAUCAUGGCUCAGAUUGAACGCUGGCGGCAGGCCUAACACAUGCAAGUCGAACGGUAACAGGAAGCAGCUUGCUGCUUCGCUGACGAGUGGCGGACGGGUGAGUAAUGUCUGGGAAACUGCCUGAUGGAGGGGGAUAACUACUGGAAACGGUGGCUAAUACCGCAUAACGUCGCAAGACCAAAGAGGGGGACCUUCGGGCCUCUUGCCAUCAGAUGUGCCCAGAUGGGAUUAGCUGGUUGGUGAGGUAACGGCUCACCAAGGCGACGAUCCCUAGGUGGUCUGAGAGGAUGACCAGCCACACUGGAACUGAGACACGGUCCAGACUCCUACGGGAGGCAGCAGUGGGGAAUAUUGCACAAUGGGCGCAAGCCUGAUGCAGCCAUGCCGCGUGUAUGAAGAAGGCCUUCGGGUUGUAAAGUACUUUCAGCGGGGAGGAAGGUGUUGUGGUUAAUAAC
rnacentral:rRNA from 2 species